GCAGUCGAGCGGAGUGAUAGUGCUUGCACUAUCACUUAGCGGCGGACGGGUGAGUAAUGCUUAGGAAUCUGCCUAUUAGUGGGGGACAACAUUUCGAAAGGAAUGCUAAUACCGCAUACGUCCUACGGGAGAAAGCAGGGGAUCUUCGGACCUUGCGCUAAUAGAUGAGCCUAAGUCGGAUUAGCUAGUUGGUGGGGUAAAGGCCUACCAAGGCGACGAUCUGUAGCGGGUCUGAGAGGAUGAUCCGCCACACUGGGACUGAGACACGGCCCAGACUCCUACGGGAGGCAGCAGUGGGGAAUAUUGGACAAUGGGCGCAAGCCUGAUCCAGCCAUGCCGCGUGUGUGAAGAAGGCCUUAUGGUUGUAAAGCACUUUAAGCGAGGAGGAGGCUACUUUAGUUAAUACCUAGAGAUAGUGGACGUUACUCGCAGAAUAAGCACCGGCUAACUCUGUGCCAGCAGCCGCGGUAAUACAGAGGGUGCAAGCGUUAAUCGGAUUUACUGGGCGUAAAGCGCGCGUAGGCGGCUAAUUAAGUCAAAUGUGAAAUCCCCGAGCUUAACUUGGGACUUGCAUUCGAUACUGGUUAGCUAGAGUGUGGGAGAGGAUGGUAGAAUUCCAGGUGUAGCGGUGAAAUGCGUAGAGAUCUGGAGGAAUACCGAUGGCGAAGGCAGCCAUCUGGCCUAACACUGACGCUGAGGUGCGAAAGCAUGGGGAGCAAACAGGAUUAGAUACCCUGGUAGUCCAUGCCGUAAACGAUGUCUACUAGCCGUUGGGGCCUUUGAGGCUUUAGUGGCGCAGCUAACGCGAUAAGUAGACCGCCUGGGGAGUACGGUCGCAAGACUAAAACUCAAAUGAAUUGACGGGGGCCCGCACAAGCGGUGGAGCAUGUGGUUUAAUUCGAUGCAACGCGAAGAACCUUACCUGGCCUUGACAUAGUAAGAACUUUCCAGAGAUGGAUUGGUGCCUUCGGGAACUUACAUACAGGUGCUGCAUGGCUGUCGUCAGCUCGUGUCGUGAGAUGUUGGGUUAAGUCCCGCAACGAGCGCAACCCUUUUCCUUAUUUGCCAGCGAGUAAUGUCGGGAACUUUAAGGAUACUGCCAGUGACAAACUGGAGGAAGGCGGGGACGACGUCAAGUCAUCAUGGCCCUUACGGCCAGGGCUACACA
rnacentral:rRNA from 1 species